rnacentral:rRNA from 1 species
GUAACAUACCACCUCGCACUGGGAUCCGGAGGGACUCCUGCCGUAAAACCCCCCAAUUUCCAAAGGUUGACCUCGGAUCAGGUAGGAAUACCCGCUGAACUUAAGCAUAUCAAUAAGC